GCUUCCCUUCCUCCCACUUCUCCCCGUGCAGAGUAACCAGUGUAGGGAGGAGGCCUGGAAGGGCAGCAACAGAAGAGAGCUGCUUUGUGAAGCUCCAGAAGCAACAGGAGGCUAAGAAGAAGCAAGGAAGAUUUUGCAGUUUAGGAUGGAAAAUGUGUUUUGAAAUAAGCCUGUCAACCACAUGUUGACACUUUCCAUGAGCACUUGCCGUCUACCUCUACACAGAUUAGAUCACGUGCUGCUGCAGCUGCUGACCUUCAACACUCCCUGAAGGAGCUCAUCUUCAUGGUGACAGCUAUUCCUCGUGACUAGCAGAGGUCACAAG
ensembl:lncRNA